rnacentral:rRNA from 1 species
UACGAAGGGGGCUAGCGUUGCUCGGAAUCACUGGGCGUAAAGCGCACGUAGGCGGAUCGCUAAGUCAGGGGUGAAAUCCUGGAGCUCAACUCCAGAACUGCCUUUGAUACUGGCAAUCUCGAGUCCGGGAGAGGUGAGUGGAACUGCGAGUGUAGAGGUGAAAUUCGUAGAUAUUCGCAAGAACACCAGUGGCGAAGGCGGCGAUCUGGACAGAUAUUGACGCUGAGGUGCGAAAGCGUGGGGAGCAAACAGG